rnacentral:rRNA from 1 species
ACUCAAAGGAAUUGACGGGGACCCGCACAAGCGGUGGAGCAUGUGGAUUAAUUCGAUACUAACCGAAGAACCUUACCCAGGUUUGACAUCGAUUGUAAGCCAUUGAAAGGUGGCCCUCUCUCACAAGGAGACAUGAAGACACUUGUUGCAUGGCUGUCGUCAGCUCGUGCCGUGAGGUGUACGGUUAAGUCCGCCAACGAGCGCAACCCUCGUUCUGUGUUACCAGCAUUAAUGAUGGGGACUCACAGGAGACCGCCGGUGUAAGCCGGAGGAAGGUGGGGAUGAUGUCAAGUCAGCAUGGCAGUUACGCCUGGGGCUUCACACAUGCUACAAUGGGCGCAACAAAGGGCUGCAAUACCGCGAGGUGGAGCUAAUCCCAAAAAUACGUCCUCAGUUCAGAUUGCAGUCUGCAACUCGACUGCAUGAAGUCGGAAUCGCUAGUAAACGCAGGUCAGCUAUACUGCGUUGAAUACGUUCCCGGGUCUUGCACACACCGCCCGU